CCAGCUUCUCCUCCAGCUUCAUCACCUGUAGCUGGCAUCAUGGUUGGAGUCAUUGCUGCUCUGGUUGUUGGUGCUGGAGUUGUUUUACACUGCUGGAAGAAGAGACAAAGUCAGCCAAGAGAAUCAGAAGCCACGGCUCGUGAACAGGAGCAAUUGAUUGCAGUUGGAUAAGAUGUAGGAGGAAGAUCAGAACCGACAGACACAGC